UACGUAGGGUGCGAGCGUUGUCCGGAAUUAUUGGGCGUAAAGAGCUUGUAGGCGGUUUGUCGCGUCUGCUGUGAAAAUCCGGGGCUCAACCCCGGACUUGCAGUGGGUACGGGCAGACUAGAGUGUGGUAGGGGAGACUGGAAUUCCUGGUGUAGCGGUGGAAUGCGCAGAUAUCAGGAAGAACACCAAUGGCGAAAGCAGCUCUCUGGGACGGUACUGACGCUGAGACGCGAAAGCGUGGGGAGCGAACAGG
rnacentral:rRNA from 1 species